UCUUAGUUCUCCAACCCUCUAACCUCGUGUAGUCGCACGGUCAGACAUUACUCAUCAUGGCCAGACUUCACGUAUGUACACGUCAGUUUUAUAGGGAAGACCCUCCACCUCCAAAAGGUAUUGAAAUGUUUGUGGGAAAAUUACCACGUGAUGUGUUCGAAGAAUUGAAUCGAAUCUUCUCUACAAUCGGUACUUCAAGGUGAAAUGGAAAGGUUAGCCUAACGCGUAACCCAAGUCAUUGUUUACAUUUCCAUCAGAGAUAAAACUAAAAAUAGUCGUUUUGCAUUUGUCGAGUACGUUAAUCAUCGUGCAGCUUCCAAGACUCGUAGAAAGUUGAUACCUAACCGCAUUCAAUUAACAGAGAUAGCUGUCGACUGGGUCGAGUAGGGAAAUGAAAUCGAUGAAGACGCCAUGUCGCAGGUUACGUUCUUGUACGUCUGCAACUUGUCGCUGACAACUGCAGAACAAGUUCUUCGUGGAAAUUCAAUUAUACCUUUACUGACAGUUCGACAUCUUUCAUGCCGAAUUAUUACAACAGUGGAGAACAUUCGAGUACAACAGCUAGCGUGUAAGAUUGUCCCACGUCUUACAACAGGUAAUUGAUCUGGCUUGGCUUAACCUGUUUAUCUUUUAUAUUGCUUUGUUUGCUUUUAUAUGUAUUUAGCGCAUAUUUGUUAGUAGAGGUGUGAGUAAAGAGUUAGUAAUUUUGUUAACAUAUUAAGCCAGAUAUGGGGGCACAUCACGUAUAAACUUUCUUCGAUUGUCGAUCAUAUUAUCCUAUAUAGCGUAUUAGGAUAAUAGAAUUCUACACUCCCAUGAUUUUUUUUUAUGUGGUUCGAUCAGUAGCUCAGCAAACGGCAGGUCCAAAAUUUGUUGGUUGUAUUUAACGAGUAAAAUUUAUUGACUUCUGGAGAACAUUGGACGUGGCUUUCCAUGUUCCGUCUAAUUGGAGCCCCCCAUCUCGACUCACGCCUCAUGAGUAGGAUUCACUCAACAAGUCCUCUACGAAUUCCCAAAGGUUUCGCUCUUUUGGACCGCAGUAAGCGGUGCCCUUCGAUCGGUAAUAAUUUACUUUAGUUGAUUUUAGGAUAGAGACGAAAGCUUUUGACGAGGCUAAAUAAAGUUAUGCGAAGCCUCUCGACAUUUCACGCUCUACUACGCCGUCGGUUACCUAGUACCUACUCAGUACCUUGGGGUUCGGUCAUCGUGUUUUCACUGACGCCGACGAAAGGGAAGUAACGGAAGUUGUUGUUCGCCUUUUGUUGAUACGAAAUCUACGUCUAUGAAAACAUGCCUGGACUACUACGGACACCAGUUCGAAUUAAUUAAGCAACCCGUGCCUGGUUUGGGAUUAGGCCAUCAAUCAACUUUCGCAACAUUUCGGCAUCGACCUUAUUCUCAAGUAUGCGGCGGCCACUUUUUCUUUUGGCGCUUCUUUUCUUUCUUUUCAUAGACGGAUGGCAUUGCACUACAAGCAUUGUACCUAACGAAUUCACUUUGUUUUGUCUGUUGUUGCUUGCCAUGCACGUUGACCGCGACCCGCAAUAGCCAGUCACGCCUGUUAAAUACGCCCGCCUGCAUGUAAUCCGAGAUCCCCAAACAACUUUCUAUCGAAAAGUACGACAACAAAACUUUCGGAGCACGAGAACAAAGGUUAUGUUCACCAGCAGUCUGACCAUGAUUUUUGUCUAAUACUAUCUUUGCAAUUUGAUCUAGAACACCUGGAGUUUCCAGAGCAAGGAUCAUAACAAACUCAUGUUUUUUUAGUUUUUAGUUUUUUUUUUUCAAUCUGGCAAUUUGACACUCUUACUUCCGGUGGAGUUCCGGUGCAAAAUUAGACGUGAUUAUAGAAUUGCAAAUUUGCAACACUAGAUGGCGAAGGGUAUAUUGUUGUCGUUUUAAUGGCGCUCAUGGCGAACAGCAAAUGUCGAAAGUUAUUUUUACUUUUUGUUAAGUUCUUAGUUUUUACGGACCAAAUUUAAAAUUAUGUGUAAGUAAAUCUGCAACUGUUUUUAGUCUAACCGGCAAGGCGGCAAAGUUAAUUGCUUACAUUUAUCUCUUAGUCUACUUUUCCUAUUUCUAGUCUACCUUUCCUGUUGUCUCGUCAAGGUAAAUUAUCAACUAAAAAAUCGUCAACAUUCAGCUUCAUGCCGAUGACGGAUAGAGAUAUUUACAGCAAAGAAAUUGACAGCUUUAUGACUUGGUGCAACAAAUUAGACAUCUCGCAUAGGACCAACUUCCUGACAUAAUGACUCUUCUGUCAUUUGGGGAUCCAGCCAAGAAAACCAUCACUCAUAACCAAUGCGGCAAUGCCCAUAAUGCCCAUCAAAUAUUCCGAGUACGUCAAAUGAGAUCCCUGUCGACUCACCAUUUCAUAUCGAACGCCACUCCUCCCGUCAAUCUGGAAAAAACUUUCUGACGAGGUAAAACUGUUAUUUCUCUUAUUCAUUUAUAUGAAACUAUCACGUAUUUAUUUGGUACAUCGGGUCUCAUUUCCAACCUCAGCGUCAGACAAUGGAGAUACCGGUACAGUUUAUCUGGCUUGCCCUGAAUAGUUUAUCUCAAGUAUCAUUUUGGGUUUUAAAUGCCACAGAGUAUUAGCUAGUGCUAGUAAAUGUAGAGUUAGAUUUUUUUUAGUAGCUGUGUAUGUUAUUUUAUACAGACAUACAUGGGAAACAGUGGGAGUGAUAGGACGUAGAUUGUGGAGGGAGUAGAAAUCGAACACGCGGGACAUUCCGUAUCGACAACAUAACCAUCAUGCUCGCACAUCUGGUCUUGUCCAUCUCCGGUUAAGUUAAUCAUAGCCUUAAAAGGAAAGUAGCUGAGAGUGAUCUGGAAUGUUUACUUAAAAUAUAGGAAUAGUUUGUGGUUACAGCUUCCAAUUCCCAAACAUUCACCUUUGGAAAAAUGAUUCGAAGAACUCUUAACAAUUUACAAGGAUUCGGUCGUAUGAUGUCGGUCGUUUUGACGUCGUCCACCGCGAGGAGACGCUACUCGAUGUUAUCCACUCAGUGAGCCGAAACGGCAGAUCCAUCUUUUUCACUGUCGUUUUGACUCUCAUCCCAGUCUACAUGUUUUCCAUCAUCGGGUAUCACGUUCAGUUUCACGCCAAAUUGUUAUUAUAUCUACAACAUAGUGUCUUAAAUUAAUUACAAUUUUUCUACUGUUCGUUUCAGAGAUGUCCGUCAGUAUGUGCGUAUGUGCAAUUAGUGGAUUGUCCUUAUGCUUUCAACUCUCGACAAAGCAUCCACCGAUAACAACGCUAUAUUGUUUCCUUCAAUAAUGUUCUUUUGCUUUGUAAGAGUUCAUGGUCAGUUGGAGCUGUUUACAUUGUUGCUGUUUGGUGUCCAGUGGUUUUGCAGUCCCUUUCCAGUUGAGAGAUGCUCUGAAAUGGAGUUUGUGCAGACUUGCAGUUCAACAUCACACUUAAAUGUGUCAUUUGUCUAUGUUGGUGUCCAUGCAGUAUUUGCAGUGUUGAACAGUUGGGUAAAAUAGUUCAUGCUGCCUGAUGGCUGUCGGUCUUAUUUUAUCGGUUGCAUUUUUUCGAUAUGUCAUCCCUUGCUACCUGUAUCGUCGUUUAGUUUCAUCGUUUGCUGCCGUUCCAUAGACUUGAUCCAUUGGUAAACUGAGGAGAGGUUGCUGAAAUUCAAGAAUCGUCAAUAAAUUAUGUAGAUGCUGUAGAAAAAUUACAAGUGCAUAUCUGGGCUCCCUUCUUCAGUGGCCCCGUUUCCCUAA